rnacentral:rRNA from 1 species
AUUGAACGCUGGCGGCAUGCUUUACACAUGCAAGUCGAACGGUAACAGGGAGCUUGCUCCGCUGACGAGUGGCGAACGGGUGAGUAAUGCAUCGGAACGUACCCAGUCGUGGGGGAUAACGUAGCGAAAGUUGCGCUAAUACCGCAUACGUCCUGAGGGAGAAAGCGGGGACCGUAAGGCCUCGCGCGAUUGGAGCGGCCGAUGUCGGAUUAGCUAGUUGGUGGGGUAAAGGCCUACCAAGGCGACGAUCCGUAGCGGGUCUGAGAGGAUGAUCCGCCACACUGGGACUGAGACACGGCCCAG